rnacentral:rRNA from 1 species
UACAGAGGGUGCGAGCGUUAGGCGGAAUCACUGGGCUUAAAGCGUGUGUAGGCGGGUCGUUAAGUACCUUGUGAAAUCCCAUGGCUCAACCAUGGAACUGCUGGGUAUACUGGCGAUCUUGUGCAACCUAGGGGCGAGCGGAACAGAUGGUGGAGCGGUGAAAUGCGUAGAUAUCAUCUGGAACGCCAAUGGUGAAAACAGCUCGCUGGGGGUUUGCAGACGCUGAGACACGAAAGCCAGGGGAGCGAACGGG